ACGAACGCUGGCGGCGUGCCUAAUACAUGCAAGUUGAGCGCUGAAGGUUGGUACUUGUACCAACUGGAUGAGCAGCGAACGGGUGAGUAACGCGUGGGGAAUCUGCCUUUGAGCGGGGGACAACAUUUGGAAACGAAUGCUAAUACCGCAUAAAAACUUUAAACACAAGUUUUAAGUUUGAAAGAUGCAAUUGCAUCACUCAAAGAUGAUCCCGCGUUGUAUUAGCUAGUUGGUGAGGUAAGGGCUCACCAAGGCGAUGAUACAUAGCCGACCUGAGAGGGUGAUCGGCCACAUUGGGACUGAGACACGGCCCAAACUCCUACGGGAGGCAGCAGUAGGGAAUCUUCGGCAAUGGACGAAAGUCUGACCGAGCAACGCCGCGUGAGUGAAGAAGGUUUUCGGAUCGUAAAACUCUGUUGGUAGAGAAGAACGUUGGUGAGAGUGGAAAGCUCAUCAAGUGACGGUAACUACCCAGAAAGGGACGGCUAACUACGUG
rnacentral:rRNA from 1 species